rnacentral:rRNA from 1 species
UACGUAGGGUGCGAGCGUUGUCCGGAAUUAUUGGGCGUAAAGGGCUCGUAGGCGGUUUGUCGCGUCGGGAGUGAAAACCCAGGGCUUAACCCUGGGCUGGCUUCCGAUACGGGCAGACUAGAGGUAUGCAGGGGAGAACGGAAUUCCUGGUGUAGCGGUGAAAUGCGCAGAUAUCAGGAGGAACACCGGUGGCGAAGGCGGUUCUCUGGGCAUUACCUGACGCUGAGGAGCGAA